GCAGGACUCCACAGAACAAACUUCACAGCUUCCUUGCAGAAGAAAAUCUCCACCUGUCUGCCUUCGGAUGAAGAUGUAGAACUCUCAUCUCCUCCAGCACCAUGCCUGUCUGGAUCUUGCCAUGCUUCUGCUUUGAUGAUAAUGGACUGAACAUCUGAAACUGUAAGCCAGCCCCAAUGAAAUGUUGUCCUUUAUAGGAGUUGCCUUGGUCAUGGUGUCCAUUCACAGCAAUGAAACCCUAACUAAGGCACCUUCAGACCAGAAUCACCUUGAUCAAUGGGUCCCACCCCUCAUGAGUGUCUGGUUUGGUUGAUCUGGGGAUGAUGCCAUAGAAUAACCAACCACAUUCAGCUAAUUGUCGGCAUGUGGACAGUCUUGCCUUAUUUAUUCCCCUCAUGGUACCCCUCCUCUCCAAUAGGAGAUUUGAACUCAAGUUCCUUCCACAAUCUACUUCCAUCCAUACACUCUUCUGAGUGUAUCUCUAAACCAGAGGUUGGCAGGAUCGGCCCCAGGAUUUUUUUGUUGUUGUUUGUUUGAGGAAAUAAUAUAACUUUAAGGGUCCAAGAAUCACUGAAAGAAGUCACGCUCAAAUCGUAUCCAAAAGCAAAGAGUGUUUGUCCUUCAGAAACAGCCAGCAUGUGAGAGCUGGGGGGAGAGGGGGAUCAGCCAUUCCUACAAAAUGGCGACCGGAGAUGAGCUCAUAGGCUCCUUUUAAUCGCAGCUAGGGGGAUUUAGGGAAUGGUUAGGUCAUUUUUAGUAUGAUUGGCUAGGUAAGCAGCAGUUACAUUAGUACAUGUCUAAUUGGUUACUAUACUAGUUUUUUCAAUUUAUGUUCAGGCCUUAGAGAAAUUCUAGGACCUGUUUCAGUCCUUGAGCUAGCUAUCUCUCCAAUAGAUUUCAGGGCCAUUGCUGAUUCAUGGCUGAUUCAUUGUCUGUGGUUUUUCCAAGGAGCCUUACCUGCCUCUUUGGGAAAUUGAAUGGCCUAGUUAUAAAACAGAGCGAGUUUCAGUCAGACUGCUCAAUAACCACCUUUUGUAAGACAAGGUCUGUCAUGCCUGGAACUCAUCAGUGCAGCGAGUCUUAAUUUCUGCCCCAGUUGCUCUGUCAGGGGUAAGAUCGCUGACAGAGCAACUUAAGUGAGAAAGGGCUGAUCUGGCUCACAGUUUCAAGUUACAGGCCUUCCAGGCAGGGAAGUCACAGCUGCAGGUGAGAGAACUGACCACCUUACAUCCACAGUCAGGGACAGAAAGCGAUUAAUUAAUGCAUGCACACCACUGCUCAGCUCACUCUCCCUUGCAUUCGGCUGAGGACCCAGCUCAUGAAAGAGUUCCACCCAUGUUCUAUCCAAAUUCUACAAAAUGGGUGGUCCCACACCAACCUAAACAGUUCAUCCUUGAGACUUCCUUUGCUAGGUAAAAGUCUACAUUGUUUCAAGUCAAUAAUUAAAAGUAACCAUCAUGCGGGGCUGUGGUGGCGCAAACCUUUAAUCCUAGCACUUAGGAAGCAGAGGCAGGUGGAUUUCUGAGUUUGAGGCCAGCCUGGUCUACAGAGUGAGUUCCAGGACAGCCAGGGCUACACAGAGAAACCCUGUCUCUAAAAAAAAACAACAACAAAAAAAAUAGAUAGAUAGAUAGAUAGAUAGAUAGAUAGAUAGAUAGAUAGAUAGAUAGAUAAUGGAUUAGCAGGGAGUCAUCCAUCGUUUCAUAAUCCUUCAAAGUGAAUCCUAGCAUGAAGACGGUCUCUGGGUAGCAAAGCAGCCUGUGGCAUGCCGUUGUGAUACGUAAGCUCAAUAGAUUCCCUCUGUACUGGCUGGUUGUGUGUGUCAAGUUGACACAGCUGGAGUUAUCACGGAGAAAGGAGCCUCCCUUGAGGAAACGCCUCCUGAGAUCCAACUGUAAGGCAUUUUCUCAAUUAGUGAUCAAGGGUGGGAGAGCCAUCCCUAGGCAGAUGGUCCUGGGUUCUAUCAGAAAGCAAGCUGAGCAAGCCAUGGGAAGCAAGCCAGUAAGCACCACCCCUCUACGGCUUCUGCAUCAGCUCCUGCUUCCUGACCUGCUUGAGUUCCAGUCCUGACUUCCUUUGGUGAUGAACAGCAUUGUGUAAAUAUAAGCUGAAUAAACUCUUUCCUCCCAA
rnacentral:lncRNA from 1 species